rnacentral:rRNA from 1 species
AUAGUACGUGAAACCGUUCAGGGGUAAACCUGAGAAACCCGAAAGGUCGAAUGGGGGAGAUUCAGCGUGUCUCGUGCUGUACGAGUGACGUUUGCGGGACGAUGCUCUAUUAGAAAAUCGCUCCCUUCGUCACCGUUGCGGUGCGAACGCGUGCACUUCUCCCCUAGUAGGACGUCGCGACCCGUUGAGUGCCGGUCUAAGGUUUGCUAGGGAGUCCGCGUGAUGCGUUACGCGUCACGUCGGCCCUGCGAUUUCCCGGCCGGCUCGCUCGACGGUAGAAGGUUGGCACAGGGUCGCGAUUUAUUCGCGUCCGGUUCGUUGCAAGCUCGGGCGGUUGAUUUGGCGGUCGGACUUUGUGCCGACUCCGGACCCGCCCGUCUGUUGGCGACGAGUUCCUCGGACAGACCCUGAUAAUUACGCCAGUCAGCGACGCUAUAGCGUUGGGUACUUUCAGGACCCGUCUUGAAACACGGACCAAGGAGUCUAGCAUGUACGCGAGUCAUUGGGACUAGCGAAACCUAAAGGCGAAAUGAAAGUGAAGGCCGCCUUCAGGCGUGCCGAGGGAGGAUGGAUGAAGCCACGGCUUCGUCCCGCACUCCCAGGGCGUCUCUAGCUCAUUGCGAGCUGAGGCGCACCUAGAGCGUACACGCUGGGACCCGAAAGAUGGUGAACUAAA